GGUCUCAUGGUGUAAGGGACAGCACUCAGGACUCUGAAUCCUGCAAUCUGAGGUCAAGUCUCAGUAGUGUUA
rnacentral:tRNA from 1 species